GGUGGCAGCAGUUCAACAUCCUGGACAGCAUGCGCUGCUUCCAGCAGGCGCACUACGACAUCCGGAGGAACGACGACAUCAUCAGCUUCUUCAACGACUUCAGCGACCACCUGGCCGAGGAGGCCCUGUGGGAGCUCUCCCUGAAGAUCAAGCCCAGGAACAUAACGAGGAGGAAGACAGAGCGGGAAGAGAAGACCUAGGGGCGGUGCCCGAGCGAGAACGCUCAGGGGAGGCCGCGAGAGCGGCC